rnacentral:misc_RNA from 1 species
AAUUUAUUUGUGAAUUUCCAUUAAUGCCUAGAAAGUGGCACAUGAGCAUAAAGUUUUACGUCCAUGUAAGAUUGCAUUUAGACCACUUUGUUUCAUUUUAAUGCUUGGAAGAAGAACCCAGCUCUGAGUUAAAUACUCAAAAAUGAAAUUUUGUUAGUGUCCUCUUUGCACUCAUUACCAUUUUAGUCUUCCAAAUAGCCUGUUGUUUUCAUCAGAGCAGAGAACAUGGCUUUGGCUCAAACUAACUUAUAAUUGUUUACAACAGAAAUAUGUUUAGUUUCAUCUCCUGAUUUUGAGCUUUUGUUUUGUGUGGGUAGGUGGGGCUUUCUCG